UACGAGGGGGGCAAGUGUUGUUCGGAAUCACUGGGCGUAAAGGGUGCGUAGGCGGGUCUUUAAGUCAGGGGUGAAAUCCUGGAGCUCAACUCCAGAACUGCCUUUGAUACUGAGGAUCUUGAGUUCGGGAGAGGUGAGUGGAACUGCGAGUGUAGAGGUGAAAUUCGUAGAUAUUCGCAAGAACACCAGUGGCGAAGGCGGCUCACUGGCCCGAUACUGACGCUGAGGCGCGAAAGCGUGGGGAGCAAACAGG
rnacentral:rRNA from 1 species